rnacentral:rRNA from 1 species
AACGAGAAAUCCUGACUUCGGUCGGAAGAGUAAAGUGGCGCACGGGUGAGUAACGCGUGGGUAACCUGCCCUCAAAUCUGGAAUAACUUCGCGAAAGCGUUGCUAAUACCGGAUAUCGUCCUUAAAGCUUCGGCCUUUUGGAUGAAAGAUGACCUCUUCAUGAAAGUUGUCGUUUGGGGAGGGGCUCGCGUACCAUUAGCUUGUUGGUGGGGUAAUGGCCUACCAAGGCGACGAUGGUUAGCUGGUCUGAGAGGAUGAUCAGCCACACUGGAACUGGAACACGGUCCAGACUCCUACGGGAGGCAGCAGUGAAAUUUUGCGCAAUGGGGGAAACCCUGACGCAGCAACGCCGCGUGAGUGAAGAAGGCUUUCGGGUCGUAAAGCUCUGUCAAGUGGAAAAAAAGUUCCACGGUAAAUAAUCGUGGGAUCUGAUGGUACCACUGGAGGAAGCACCGGCUAACUCCGUGCCAGCAGCCGCGGUAAUACGGAGGGUGCAAGCGUUGAUCGGAAUUACUGGGCGUAAAGAGCGUGUAGGCGGUAUGGUAAGUCAGAUGUGAAAGCCCUGGGCUUAACCCAGGAAGUGCAUUUGAUACUGCCAUUCUUGAGUAUGGGAGAGGAGAGUGGAAUUCCCAGUGUAGAGGUGAAAUUCGUAGAUAUUGGGAGGAACACCCGUGGCGAAGGCGACUCUCUGGACCAAUACUGACGCUGAGACGCGAAAGCGUGGGGAGCAAACAGGAUUAGAUACCCUGGUAGUCCACGCCGUAAACGAUGAGAACUAGGUGUAGCGGGUAUUGACCCCUGCUGUGCCGAAGUUAACGCAUUAAGUUCUCCGCCUGAGGAGUACGGCCGCAAGGCUAAAACUCAAAGGAAUUGACGGGGACCCGCACAAGCGGUGGAGCAUGUGGUUUAAUUCGACGCAACGCGAAGAACCUUACCUGGAUUUGACAUCCUCUGCUAACCCCAGAAACGGGGUCUUUCCGACUUGUCGGAACAGAGUGACAGGUGCUGCAUGGCUGUCGUCAGCUCGUGUCGUGAGAUGUUGGGUUAAGUCCCGCAACGAGCGCAACCCUUGUUUUUAGUUGCCAGUAUUAAGUUAGGCACUCUAAAGAUACUGCCUCGGUUAACGGGGAGGAAGGUGGGGAUGACGUCAAGUCCUCAUGGCCUUUAUAUCCAGGGCUACACACGUGCUACAAUGGGCUGUACAAAGGGUUGCAACACCGCGAGGUGAAGCUAAUCUCAAAAAGCAGUUCUCAGUUCGGAUUGAAGUCUGCAACUCGACUUCAUGAAGGUGGAAUCGCUAGUAAUCGUGGAUCAGCAUGCCACGGUGAAUACGUUCCCGGGUCUUGUACACACCGCCCGUCACACCACGAAAGUCGGCUGUACCAGAAGUUGCUGGGCUAACCCUUCGGGGAGGCAGGUACCUAAGGUACGGUCGGUAAUUGGGGUGAAGUCGAAACAAGGUA